rnacentral:hammerhead_ribozyme from 1 species
AUCCAGCUGAUGAGUCUCAGAAAGGAUGAAACGUGCGUCCUGGAU